UGUGGUUAUUUGCCAGCACGUAAUGGUGGGAACUCUAAGGAGACUGCCGGUGACAAACCGGAGGAAGGUGGGGACGACGUCAAGUCAUCAUGGCCCUUAUGACCAGGGCUACACACGUGCUACAUGGGACGUACAGAGGGUUGCUAAGCCGCGAGGUGGAGCCAAUCCCAGAAAACGUUUCGUAGUCCGGAUCGAAGUCUGCAACUCGACUUCGUGAAGUCGGAAUCGCUAGUAAUCGCGAAUCAGCAUGUCGCGGUGAAUACGUUC
rnacentral:rRNA from 1 species